AACGGGAACUCUGAGUGGUAUUACUGUACUUAAAGCUGCUGCUGUGUUAUUUAAGUUAUUUUUGCUUAAGCAUGUGCAAACUUGUGUCUCUUUUUUUUCCCCUCAGCUGUUACUGUAGCUGCAGUACCAGUAAUUGCAACCUACCAAGAAUAAACAGCAGCCAGAGAUCCUCAAAGCAGUACAUUGCUUUGCUUCCAGGUGGUUGCUCGGGGCAUCCCGGCCAUCAGUGGCGGACUGGCCAUCGGGACGUUCGGGGCGAAUCCCGAUGGGCCGGUCGGGCCACUCGGCCCACUUCGGUACCGGCAGGGGCGGACUGACCAUCUGUAGAAUCACCGAAUGGCCGGGUCGGUUUGCUGUUUUUAAACGGCAUCAUUGAAGUUAAGCUGACAGGCGACAGAGGUCCACCGUUUCCCAGUCCGCCCCUGCCGGCCAUCAUCUACUCUAGGGAGUUCUCCCCUGACAGCUGGACAGUACAUGAUAGCAGAGGACCAUCGUCAGUGACAGUGUCCUGAAUGUUGUUGACGCCCUGAUGCUGAUGUUUGCAGCAUAUUACUGCCUCAACAUCAGUUAUCGCUCAGAACUGGGAGCUACCCUGGAGUUCUUGCAGAGGUGCCUAUUCAAGAUCAAUCCGGACAAUGGGACUAGAGUGGAGAGGAAGGAAUACAAACACAAACAGCACUCGAUAAAGAUAAAGAUUUCAUGAAGUUUGCUGACGACACGACCGUCAUCG